rnacentral:rRNA from 1 species
CCUACGGGCGGCUGCAGUGGGGAAUAUUGCGCAAUGGGCGAAAGCCUGACGCAGCGACGCCGCGUGAGGGAUGAAGGUCUUCGGAUCGUAAACCUCUGUCAGCAGGGAAGAACGGUCACUGUGCUAAUCAGCAGUGAAUUGAUGGUACCUGCAAAGGAAGCACCGGCUAACUCCGGGCCAGCAGCCGCGGUAGUACGGAGGGUGCAAGCGUUAAUCGGAAUUACUGGGCGUAAAGGGCGCGUAGGCGGUAUGUCAAGUCAAGGGUGAAAUCCCUGGGCUCAACGUGGGAACUGCCUUUGAUACUGUCAGGCUAGAGAGUAGGAGCGGAAGGUGGAAUUCCUGGUGUAGGGGUGAAAUGCGUAGAUAUCAGGAGGAACACCGGUGGCGAAGGCGGCUAUCUGGCACAUUACUGACGUUGAGGAGCGAAAGCGUGGGUAGCAAACAGGAUUAGAUACCCUAGUAGUC